rnacentral:tRNA from 1 species
GGGUAAUGAUUCCUCUGGGAAGGAAGCCACACUGUCUAUGUGGUCGAUGCGGGUUCGACUCCCGUAUUACUCGCCA